rnacentral:tRNA from 1 species
GGGUGUAGCUCAGUGGUAGAGUGUUAUCUUAGCAUGCAUGAGUCCCUGGGUUCAAUCCCCAGUAUAACCCA